UUGCACGCUGGCGGCAGGCCUAACACAUGCAAGUCGAGCGGAUGAAGGGAGCUUGCUCCUGGAUUCAGCGGCGGACGGGUGAGUAAUGCCUAGGAAUCUGCCUGGUAGUGGGGGAUAACGUCCGGAAACGGGCGCUAAUACCGCAUACGUCCUGAGGGAGAAAGUGGGGGAUCUUCGGACCUCACGCUAUCAGAUGAGCCUAGGUCGGAUUAGCUAGUUGGUGGGGUAAAGGUCUACCAAGGCGACGAUCCGUAACUGGUCUGAGAGGAUGAUCAGUCACACUGGAACUGAGACACGGUCCAGACUCCUACGGGAGGCAGCAGUGGGGAAUAUUGGACAAUGGGCGAAAGCCUGAUCCAGCCAUGCCGCGUGUGUGAAGAAGGUCUUCGGAUUGUAAAGCACUUUAAGUUGGGAGGAAGGGCAGUAAGUUAAUACCUUGCUGUUUUGACGUUACCAACAGAAUAAGCACCGGCUAACUUCGUG
rnacentral:rRNA from 1 species